ACACCCCACCCCCUCCUUCUCCUUGCGCCGCGGCGUCCCUAUCUUGCCAUUGUCCGCACCGGGUUCCAUAGGAGGAGGAGUUGGAGGGGGCGGGGCCAGCUGGGGGGGCCACCAAAAUUCUGUUCACCUACACACGAAAAUUACCUAGGGCCUGGGUGCGUGGGGAUGGACUGCCACCGCUGUGGUCCCUAGAGCGGGAAUUUUGUGCAUCGCUUCUACAGAAGCCACUUGCUUUUGUUCAUCCUGCAUGGCAUCAAUCUCUCCCCUGAGCAAAGGUAGAUACCAAAGGGAUCAGAAACAUGUGGCAAAAGGGAUGAGGAGAAGGAAACAGCUCCAGCUGAUCUAUUUCAUCCCAAUCUUCCUGUGUGCCUCCUCUUCCUUUUCCUGGACAAAACAGAGAUUUGCAGGACACAGUAGGAAAGAGCUGGAUCCGUGGGAUAAGUUAAGCAGCACAAGACUGGUUCCUCAUUCUACCUGUGUGCCAUAAAUCUUUGUUUCAUCUGGGAAAGGAAGGGAGAUACAAGGUGAAACAGAGACUCCUGGCAAACUGGCCCCUUGCAAACUGGCCCUGCCCAUACUCAUGCCAUCACUUACCUGGCAGAUCUAGUUCCUCUUCUUGUGUGCUGAAUGGUCCUGUUGCCUCAGUGCUCCUCUUUCUUUGCCCAGGUAAAACAGAGAUUCACAGAAUGCAGGAAGGGGGAGAAGAGCUAGAGCCACCGGGAUCGGAAAGGAGCCAGGAUUUGAAUCCACGACAAACAUGACCAUGAAGUCGGGAGGAAGGUCCCUUUAGGACUGGAAGUCGAGCGGAGAAAGGAAAAGAACAGAUGCAAACUUCUCAAGACUCAAAGGACCUCAUCUUUCCCACCAAAACAGAGGAAGGAGAGACAGGAGAGAGAGACAGCACACUCCUGUAAUGUUGUUAUAAUGUCAACAGAUCUCCCCAGUGAAUAACUUCUUCUGAAAAGUCAGAAUUUCCUAUAUUGACUCUGAUAUCAACUUGAGGAUGUGAAUAACACUGCCUGCAGCUUGGUCUCUUAAGUAAUGCGUUCUAUCACAGUCACGAUUAAAACAUCUAGUUCCUGCUUUCCCAUAUGAAAUGUAACAGCCUUUUAGCUUAUGCUGUCAAUCUCCUUUCCACUCCCCAAAUGGAGGGGGGAGAGUUAUGUUGCUUGUCUUAUAAGUGGUUGAAAGCUCAAUGAAAUGCCUUCUUCAGUGAUUAGAGUCAACAUGCUUAAUCUCAUUAUUAUAAAUGAGAUAACUAUUAAGAACAUAGAUCACUUUUUAAAAAAGAGUUAAGGUGGCUUAAGAUUAUUGACUUAAAUAGGUUUAAGCAUGCUUAACUCAGUACUGGAUCUUGACCAUGUUGUCUGUUCAUUAAAACACACAAACACACAGAGAUAUUUCUAAUAUAACUUUAUUUUCACUUAUUAGUUUAGCUGAUCAAGAAAACAGUCCUUGAAAUUAGAAAUAAAUUUCAUAUGAGAGUUUGUGGAGAGAAUUGUGGAUAAAGCUGGACAAUCCCCUCUAUGGAACUUUUGACAAAGUAAAUUCCAUAGAAAGUAAGAUUCAAUGCAAUAAAUUACUCUAUUGACUUGGAGUAAAUGGCAAUGCCAUUGGAAGACCUUCCAGAAUUCUACUUUGAUUUUUAUUCUAAUGAUUUGUGUCUUUGGUUUUUAUUCACUGUAAAUGUUUCUUAUCACAUGGGUUUUUGAUAAUAUUUAAGAAAUUCCAUAAAGUAAAUGAAAACAAUUUUCUGUUCCUCAUGAACAUUUUUGUUUGCAGUUGUUCUGCAAAAUUUAU